UUGUUCCGCGUCUUUUGUGAUUCUUUUUUUAUUUUUCCCUUAUUUUAAUGUAGAUAUAAAUUUAACCAAUGUAAAUAUGUACUUUAUACCUCGCAAAAAGGGUAAAACACGUAUUUUCGUUGGGAGCUAAAUAGCAUUUUUUAAUUCAAGCCACUUGUGUUACACAAACGACGUGUGUAUUCGUUUUACAUCGAAGAAAAGCUCUGUUGUAGCAGUAAAGCCACUGCUGUAUUGGCAGAAUGCAAACGUCAAUUUACGUAUGUAUCUUUAUCUUAAUUUUCGUGAACUCUUGUGCAUUUAUCCAAAACCGAAAAUAGGCUACCUUUAACGUUAAAGAUUUUUAAUCAUUUCUAGAGUAUGUUGUGUGAUUAUGUUCUUAUAUUCCUAGUAAACAUUAUCUGGCAACUAAUGCUUUUUUAGUUUCAGUGGUCGUUAAAUUCUAAAUUCUGCUGUUUUUGUGUUUUCAGUUAAGUGUCCGGGCAGGACACGAGUCGCACUGAAUCAUGGAAGUAUAAACUUUGUUGUCUUCGGGCAGGACACGCUUGGCUCAGCUGCUGGAAUUACCUGUGAAAUGCAACGAAGUUCCAGUCUUCAUUCCGGUCGCUGCCUCGACUAAUAACUCGGAGAAACAGUAACGUGCUGUAUGUUUCUGUGUUUUUUCUUGUAGUUGUUUGCAAAUGUUUUCUUAGUCUGUUGACUUGUAACAGUAUUUAGCGUUAAUGUAGCCGUGC